rnacentral:snoRNA from 1 species
AAAGCUGUUGAUGAGAAAAUUUCCAUAACUUUUCGCGAUCACCUGAGCGAACAGGAAAAAACAUGCACUACCAUCUGAAGCACA